CCUACGGGAGGCAGCAGUGAGGAAUAUUGCGCAAUGGGCGAAAGCCUGACGCAGCCACGCCGCGUGCCGGAUGAAGGUCCUUUGGAUUGUAAACGGCUUUUGCCAGGGAAGAAACGGCUGGAUUUGUCCGGUUUUGACGGUACCUGGUGAAUAAGCACCGGCUAACUCCGUGCCAGCAGCCGCGGUAAU
rnacentral:rRNA from 1 species